rnacentral:rRNA from 1 species
UACGUAGGGUGCGAGCGUUAAUCGGAAUUACUGGGCGUAAAGCGUGCGCAGGCGGUUUUGUAAGCCAGAUGUGAAAUCCCCGGGCUUAACCUGGAAUGGCAUUUGGGACUGGCAAGGCUCGAGUGCGGCAGAGGAGACGUGGAAUUCCUGGUGUGAGCAGUGAAAUGCGUAGAAUAUCAGGAGGAACACCGAUGGCGGAA